AGUGAACGCUGGCGGUAGGCCUAACACAUGCAAGUCGAACGGCAGCACAGUAAGAGCUUGCUCUUACGGGUGGCGAGUGGCGGACGGGUGAGGAAUACAUCGGAAUCUACUUUUUCGUGGGGGAUAACGUAGGGAAACUUACGCUAAUACCGCAUACGACCUACGGGUGAAAGCAGGGGAUCUUCGGACCUUGCGCGAUUGAAUGAGCCGAUGUCGGAUUAGCUAGUUGGCGGGGUAAAGGCCCACCAAGGCGACGAUACGUAGCCGGUCUGAGAGGAUGAUCCGCCCCACUGGAACUGAGACCCGGUCCAGACUCCUUCGGGGGGCAGCAGGGGGGAAUUUUUGGCAAUGGGCGGAAACCUUACGCAGCCACUCCCCGUGGGGGAAGAAGGGCUUCCGGUUUUAAAACCCUUUUUUUUGGGAAAAAAAAAUGGGUGAUUAACUCCCCGCUUUUUGACGGGACCCAAACAGAAAGCCACCGCUAACUUUGUG
rnacentral:rRNA from 1 species